rnacentral:rRNA from 1 species
GAUGAACGCUGGCGGCGUGCCUAAUACAUGCAAGUCGAGCGAACGGACGAGAAGCUUGCUUCUCUGAUGUUAGCGGCGGACGGGUGAGUAACACGUGGAUAACCUACCUAUAAGACUGGGAUAACAUCGGGAAACCGGAGCUAAUACCGGAUAAUAUUUUGAACCGCAUGGUUCAAAAGUGAAAGACGGUCUUGCUGUCACUUAUAGAUGGAUCCGCGCUGCAUUAGCUAGUUGGUAAGGUAACGGCUUACCAAGGCAACGAUGCAUAGCCGACCUGAGAGGGUGAUCGGCCACACUGGAACUGAGACACGGUCCAGACUCCUACGGGAGGCAGCAGUAGGGAAUCUUCCGCAAUGGGCGAAAGCCUGGCGGAGCAACGCCGCGUGAGUGAUGAAGGUCUUCGGAUCGUAAAACUCUGUUAUUAGGGAAGAACAUAUGUGUAAGUAACUGUGCACAUCUUGACGGUACCUAAUCAGAAAGCCACGGCUAACUACGUG